UUGAGCCGUAUGCGGGGAAACUCGCACGUACGGUUCUUAGGGGGGAGCGGGCCAGAAAUGGUACGCUCCUACCCUCC
rnacentral:ncRNA from 1 species